GCUGGAGUAGAGUAGUAGUUAACUCGUCGCCCUCCCAUAUUAUUGGCAAAGGCGGAAACCUGGGUGCAAAUCCCGGCUCUAGCA